AGAGUUUGAUCCUGGCUCAGGAUGAACGCUAGCGGCAGGCUUAAUACAUGCAAGUCGAGGGGCAGCACGGGUAGCAAUACUUGGUGGCGACCGGCAAACGGGUGCGGAACACGUACGCAACUUUCCCAGAACUGGUGAAUAGCCUUCCGAAAGGGAGAUUAAUACACCGUAAGAUAUAGUUUAGGCAUCUAGAUUAUAUUAUAGCUCCGGCGGUUUUGGAUGGGCGUGCGGCUGAUUAGGUAGUUGGUGUAGGUAACGGCUCACCAAGCCUACGAUCAGUAACUGGUGUGAGAGCACGACCAGUCACACGGGCACUGAGACACGGGCCCGACUCCUACGGGAGGCAGCAGUAAGGAAUAUUGGUCAAUGGACGCAAGUCUGAACCAGCCAUGCCGCGUGAAGGAUGAAUGCCCUCUGGGUUGUAAACUUCUUUUAUAGGGGACGAAAAAGGGUCUUUUUAGAUCAACUGACGGUACCCUAGGAAUAAGCACCGGCUAACUCCGUGCCAGCAGCCGCGGUAAUACGGAGGGUGCAAGCGUUAUCCGGAUUUACUGGGUUUAAAGGGUGCGUAGGUGGGUUGGUAAGUCAGCGGUGAAAUCUUCGAGCUUAACUCGGAAACUGCCAUUGAUACUAUCAGCCUUGAAUAUCCUGGAGGUGAGCGGAAUAUGUCAUGUAGCGGUGAAAUGCUUAGAUAUGACAUAGAACACCAAUUGCGAAGGCAGCUCACUACGGGAUUAUUGACACUGAGGCACGAAAGCGUGGGGAUCAAACAGGAUUAGAUACCCUGGUAGUCCACGCCCUAAACGAUGGAUACUCGACAUUUGCGAUAUACAGUAAGUGUCUGAGCGAAAGCAUUAAGUAUCCCACCUGGGAAGUACGAUCGCAAGA
rnacentral:rRNA from 1 species